rnacentral:rRNA from 1 species
CCGAGUGGUGUGGAUGUUUAUUGGGCCUAAAGCAUCCGUAGCUGGCUAGGUAAGUCCCUUGUUAAAUCCACCGAAUUAAUCGUUGGAUCGCGGGGGAUACUGCUUGGCUAGGGGACGAGAGAGGCAGACGGUAUUUUCGGGGUAGGGGUGAAAUCCUAUAAUCCCGGGAAGACCACCAGUGGCGAAGGCUGUCGG